AAAAAAUUGAAGAAAUAUAUAGAGAUAUAGAUUAUAGUUGAAAGAACAAUAUAUGAUUUGAUCCUGUGAGAACUCAUAAAGAAAUAAGAAAAGUAGAAGAUAUUAUAACCAAACAUACGGAUAUACAAGAAGAAAUUUCAAAAGGCUUAUUUAAAGGAUAUAUAACUAAAAAAGGACAACCUAUAAUUUUUGAAGAACUUUCAAUAUAUAGACAAUACUUAAAGGUGUUAGAAAGGCUGAAAAAUAUAGAUAUAGAACCUGAAUGAUAAGACCUUAAAAGAUAAAGGAUAUAUCUCAUAAAUAACCUUAGUAAGGAUAAAGUAGUACUUUUAACAAAUUAGGCUAUUAUGAAAAAGUGGGACAAUUCCCCGGCCAUUCUCAAAAUUAUCCCGGAAUUUAUUUGACAGUCCAAAAACGAUGUCGUUAAUUUGUUCUCAGUAGUCACUGGUCCGCUGCACAAGAAAAACAACACUUUUAUUUUUUAACCUAGAUUUUGCCAAAAUCAAUUAACCACUUAUUUCUGUCGAGUAUCAUCUCUGUAAGUUGAAUCUUUUCCUAAAUCAGGUUUUAUACUGAAAUUUUUGCUUUCUGAUGGAAUGCAUUUCAUCAUAUGUACAAAAUCCACAUACAUACGUACACAUAUAUCUAAGGUAUAUGAUUAAUUAUUUUAAUGUGGUAUUUGAGUUAGACAAUUGGAAUGGCGGCUGAACAACCAAAAGAGGCGACUGAGGACGCAAAGAUCGAUCUAUUCGAAGAUGAUGACGAGUUUGAGGAGUUUGAAAUUGGUCAAGUUAAAUCAUUUAUGCAUUUAUUAUUAUUAUU
rnacentral:lncRNA from 1 species